GUUAAGUGACUAAGCGUAUACGGUGGAUGCCUUGGCAGUUAGAGGCGAUGAAGGACGUGUUAAUCUGCGAAAAGCUGUGGUGAGCUGAUAAAACGCGUUAUAGCCACAGAUGUCCGAAUGGGGAAACCCACCGCUUCGGCGGUAUCUGCUCCUGAAUAUAUAGGGAGUAGAAGCAAACGAGGGGAACUGAAACAUCUAAGUACC
rnacentral:rRNA from 17 species